UGCAUGUUACCAGAUGAUUAUUUCCUUUCUUUGUCUGGUAUUUGUGUGGAUAUCUCAGUGACUAUGAAUGCUUGAUGGUGCCUGAAUGCAAUGACAAUAUAUGCUCACUGCUGAUACCCAUUGUCAUUGUCCAAAACACUACAGACUGACAUGAGAUAGGAGACCUCACCACUGCUUUUCCUCCUGUGCAAAGACAUGGACAGGAGAACAGGAACACAGAUGGGAGCCAUAACAGGAAUCGGACCUCAGGAACUUUGAUGACUGGAAAGAGCACCUGACCUGCUGUACCUGACUUGCUGCCUAUUAAAGUACCGAAGUACCUGACCUGCUGCCUAUAAAAAGUAUUAUUUAAGAGGGUGACAUUAUGAACCCCCUUGAGAGAUACCGAGACCCUCUGAUUUGUACUAAUAAAUUUUGUAACCUGAGAUUUUCCCAAAUAAUGCAAUGGUUUGUAAUAUGUUGGUGAUGUGCUGAAGGAGGUUGGUGAUGAAUAAAAGUAGA